rnacentral:rRNA from 1 species
AACGAACGCUGGCGGCGCGCCUAACACAUGCAAGUCGAACGAGAAUCCGGGGCAACCCGGUAGUAAAGUGGCAAACGGGUGAGGAAUACAUGGGUAACCUACCCUUGAGAAGGGAAUAACCCGCCGAAAGGUGAGCUAAUACCCUAUACGCUAUCUUUUUUUCGAAAGGAUAGGAAAGCCGGGUCGAGGACCUGGUACUCAAGGAGGGGCUCAUGUCCUAUCAGCUUGUUGGUGGGGUAACGGCCUACCAAGGCUACGACGGGUAGCUGGUCUGAGAGGAUGAUCAGCCACACUGGCACUGAGAUACGGGCCAGACUCCUACGGGAGGCAGCAGUGAGGAAUAUUGCGCAAUGGGCGAAAGCCUGACGCAGCGACGCCGCGUGGGGGAUGAAGGUCUUCGGGUCGUAAAGCUCUGUGGGGAGAGAAGAAUAAAGCCUGUGAAGAGCGGGCCUUGACGGUAUCUCCCUAGCAAGCACCGGCUAACUCCGUGCCAGCAGCCGCGGUAAAGU